rnacentral:rRNA from 1 species
CAUGCAAGUCGAACGGUAACAGGGAGCUUGCUCCGCUGACGAGUGGCGAACGGGUGAGUAAUACAUCGGAACGUGUCCUGUAGUGGGGGAUAGCCCGGCGAAAGCCGGAUUAAUACCGCAUACGAUCUACGGAUGAAAGGGGGGGAUUCUUCGGAACCUCUCGCUAUAGGGGCGGCCGAUGGCAGAUUAGCUAGUUGGUGGGGUAAAGGCCUACCAAGGCGACGAUCUGUAGCUGGUCUGAGAGGACGACCAGCCACACUGGGACUGAGACACGGCCCAGACUCCUACGGGAGGCAGCAGUGGGGAAUUUUGGACAAUGGGCGAAAGCCUGAUCCAGCAAUGCCGCGUGUGUGAAGAAGGCCUUCGGGUUGUAAAGCACUUUUGUUCGGGAAGAAAAGGACUGGGAUAAUACCCUGGUCUGAUGACGGUACCGGAAGAAUAAGCACCGGCUAACUACGUGCCAGCAGCCGCGGUAAUACGUAGGGUGCAAGCGUUAAUCGGAAUUACUGGGCGUAAAGCGUGCGCAGGCGGUUUGUUAAG